UGGGGAAUAUUGCACAAUGGAGGGAACUCUGAUGCAGCGACGCCGCGUGAACGAAGAAGGCUUUCGAGUCGUAAAGUUCUUUUAUAUGGGAGGAUAAUGACGGUACCAUAAGAAAAAGCCCCGGCUAACUACGUGCCAGCAGCCGCGGUAAUACGUAGGGGGCUAGCGUUGUCCGGAAUCACUGGGCGUAAAGGGUUCGCAGGCGGAAAUGCAAGUCAGGUGUAAAAGGCAGUAGCUUAACUACUGUAAGCAUUUGAAACUGCAUAUCUUGAGAAGAGUAGAGGUAAGUGGAAUUUUUAGUGUAGCGGUGAAAUGCGUAGAUAUUAAAAAGAAUACCGGUGGCGAAGGCGACUUACUGGGCUCAUUCUGACGCUGAGGAACGAAAGCGUGGGUAGCAAACAGG
rnacentral:rRNA from 2 species